UAAUCUGGGCUCAGGUGGGACUACCCGCUGAACUUAAGCAUAUCAGUA
rnacentral:rRNA from 1 species